GAAAAUUUUGUGCUAGAUUUUCAGGGUAAUGAUGCCAGGGAAAAAAUUGAAUCGUCUGGUAUACAUUCUUCCGACCUUGGAAAUAGCCAUAUGUGUAAUAAUAAUGUUGAUGUUCCGGAGAAAUGUAGCCCUUACAUGCCUGAAAAGCGUGCUGCAUAUUGCUCUGAUGGCAAGGGUAGAUUGAGCAAGAAACACGUUUCUGUGCUUAACGAAUAUAAAUCUGCCAAAGAUCCUCCUUUGCAAUUUAAGGAGAAAGACUGGAAUACUGGAUUUAAUACUCAAAGGUUAGAAGAGAACAUAUCGGAUCAACUAGGCAGCAAGGAAGUCCUGAAUUCAAAGAUUGACCCUAAUAAUCUUGAUUCUAGUACUAAAUCUUUCAAAAACAAUCAGAAAG
rnacentral:misc_RNA from 1 species